AAUGAACGCUGGCGGCGUGCCUAACACAUGCAAGUCGAACGAGAAUUUAGGGGCUUGCUCUUGAAUUCUAGUGGCAAACGGGUGAGUAACGCGUGGGCAAUCUACCUCUGGAUGGGGGAUACCACUUCGAAAGGAGUGUUAAUACCGCAUAACACUUUUGCGUCCUUGGACGCGCUAGUCAAAGCUAGGGAUCUUAGAAAUAAGACCUGGCGUCAGGAGAGGAGCUCGCGUCAGAUUAGUUAGUUGGUGGGGUAACGGCCUACCAAGACAGCGAUCUGUAGCCGGCCUGAAAGGGUGAUCGGCCACACUGGAACUGAGACACGGUCCAG
rnacentral:rRNA from 1 species